GGGAACUCAAAGGAGACUGCCAGUGAUAAACUGGAGGAAGGUGGGGAUGACGUCAAGUCAUCAUGGCCCUUACGACCAGGGCUACACACGUGCUACAAUGGCGCAUACAAAGAGAAGCGACCUCGCGAGAGCAAGCGGACCUCAUAAAGUGCGUCGUAGUCCGGAUUGGAGUCUGCAACUCGACUCCAUGAAGUCGGAAUCGCUAGUAAUCGUGGAUCAGAAUGCCACGGUGAAUACGUUCCCGGGCCUUGUACACACCGCCCGUCACACCAUGGGAGUGGGUUGCAAAAGAAGUAGGUAGCUUAACCUUCGGGAGGGCGCUUACCACUUUGUGAUUCAUGACUGGGGUGAAGUCGUAACAAGGUAACCGUAGGGGAACCUGCGGUUGGAUCACCUCCUUACCUGAAAGAA
rnacentral:rRNA from 1 species